rnacentral:rRNA from 1 species
GUAAAAGUCGUAACAAGGUUUCCGUAGGUGAACCUGCGGAAGGAUCAUUAUUGAAUAAAUCUGAUGUGGCUGUUAGCUGGCUUUUCGAAGCAUGUGCUCGUCCGUCAUCUUUAUCUCUCUACCUGUGCACAUUUUGUAGUCUUGGAUAUCUCUCGAGGCAACUCGGAUUUUAGGAUUGCCGUGCUGUACAAGUCGGCUUUCCUUUCAUUUCCAAGACUAUGUUUUUAUAUACACCAAAGUAUGUUAAAGAAUGUCGUCAAUAGAAACUUGUUUUCUAUAAAAAAUUAUACAACUUUCAGCAACGGAUCUCUUGGCUCUCGCAUCGAUGAAGAACGCAGCGAAAUGCGAUAAGUAAUGUGAAUUGCAGAAUUCAGUGAAUCAUCGAAUCUUUGAACGCACCUUGCGCUCCUUGGUAUUCCGAGGAGCAUGCCUGUUUGAGUGUCAUUAAAUUCUCAACCUUCCAACUUUUAUUAGCUUGGUUAGGCUUGGAUGUGGGGGUUGCGGGCUUCAUUAGUGAGGUCGGCUCUCCUUAAAUGCAUUAGCGGAACUUUUGUGGACCGUCUAUUGGUGUGAUAAUUAUCUACGCCGUGGAUGUGAAGCAGCUUUAUGAAGUCCAGCUUCUAAUCGUCCAUUGACUUGGACAAUUUUUGACAAUUUGACCUCAAAUCAGGUAGGACUACCCGCUGAACUUAAGCAUAUCAAUAAGCGGAGGAAAUC